UGUACGAGCAGCCAUAGAUGUGCAGACAUCCCUAUUGGAAGAAGAUCCGAACAAGAAUUAUCAAGAAGACAAAAGACAUGGCGUACUUCCUGUUAUGGUGCCUGAAAUUGGCAUGAAGUUUCAGGAUGAGGUAGAGGCUUGGAAGUUUUGGAAUACAUAUGGAUUAACACGGUUUUGAGGUUAGAAAGAGAGAUGCAAACAAAAGAAAAUCUAUUGGAAUACUGAGAUCAUUUAGAUUUAUUUGUGCAAAAGAGGGUCAGUGGAAAUAAGGUAAAAUAAGUCAUCUUGUAAACGACCACGAGCUAAAACUAGAACUAAAUGUCUUGCUGUAUUUUGAACUAAAUGUAUUAUUAUUGUUCUAUCUUUUGGAGAUAGAAACACGAGCAUACAGUCAAUCUCAGCAUGCAUUUAGUUUCAAUUAAAUCUUGGUAAACAACUUGGCUGAUUCUAUUUUUCUUUAGUUGGAUGUUAGUAUUUCAGUUUUGGCUGAUUCUAUUUUUCUUUAGUUGCUACCAUACUGUUUAUUUUAGCUUGAAGCUACAUAUAAUUCAUAUUACAGUUAAUGACUUUGGGAUAUGGAAUUCUUUAUUCAUCCUGGUUCAUCUUGGAUUUCCUCAUUAGCUUAGUAGUUUGAGGAAUUUCUAUAACAGCCAUGGUCUUCAAGUGAUGUACUCUAUGUUUUAUGUACUUGAUUUGAAUGUUUAUUUAGUAAACAACUUGGCCAAAUGUUUCUCUUAGGUUCUGUCUUUGUGAUCAUAUGGAAACCUCAAAUCUUCACUUCCCACUGUAUCAAAUUCCUUGGGAUCCUUAUGACGCAAAAAAAACUUAUUCUCCUAAGAUAUGUGAGAUGGCCAAGUUCUUGGGCAAAGACAUUUGUUUGCUUGAAGACAUCAACACCUUCUAACUGCUCCAAUGUCAUCAUGCUUCUGAUCCCAGCUGGAGUGUUGAAACAGGAGUGCAUCAACUUUCAUGAGAUAAUGAUCCAGUGGACGUGCCAAUGACAAGGUCAUAGAAGAAGCUAUGCUUGAGGAAGCUAUGAGUGACUGAAGGAUUUCAUUUUCCGUACUAUCAUGUUUCAACUUUCAUUGGCCAGUCAUCAAAGAAGUAUAUGAUGUGUUUGGAUUUGGGGUUCUGUUAGUCAAGUUGAUCAUUGGUCAGAAGGCGUUGGAUUUUGGAAGAGUAGCAAAUCAGAAAGGUGGAAUGCUCGACUAGGUUAAGAAACUUCAUAAAGAAAAGAAGCUACCUUUCUUUGAUGGACAAAGGCCUGGGUAGCAACUAGGACAGGGUUGAGUCAAUACCACUUGUCUCACUGGCCUAGAAUGUUCGAGGUGAUCAGGUGGAAGGAGACGGGCUCACACAGAGAUGGGAGGUGUCGUAGAACGUAGACACGCCAGAGUUCGUCUCAUCGGAGCUCCUACUUCAAAAGUACAUGGAUUUUGCAGCGGACGAAUGCUCGCUUGGUGUAGAAGCCAUGGAGCUCUUUGGACCAAGGUGACCAUCUGAUCGACCGGAUCGGCCAUCACACAGGUCGCAUAGGUGUAUUGCCAUAUCAAGCCUAUAUUAUUGUUGUGUUACAUUGGACGCAUAGGGAAGGGAAAAAUCCAGUGGAUUGUAGGGUGUGAUCUGUCUGUCUAUAGUUGUGGUGGCAUUCAUUUGUGCAGAUGAUUUGUGAUAUAUUGAUGUCGAGAAUACAUAUGUUGUUUAUUUCUAUGUAAUCGUUGCACACUAUAAUGUUAUCAAACAACUUUUGUAUUGUUGCAA